rnacentral:rRNA from 1 species
GACGAACGCUGGCGGCGUGCCUAACACAUGCAAGUCGAACGGAGUUAAGUUUUCGGAUUUAACUUAGUGGCGAACGGGUGAGUAACGCGUGAGGAACCUGCCUUUCAGUGGGGGACAACAGUUGGAAACGACUGCUAAUACCGCAUAAUGUUAUUUGGGGGCAUCCCCGAAUAACCAAAGAUUUAUUGCUGAAAGAUGGCCUCGCGUCUGAUUAGCUAGUUGGUGAGGUAACGGCCCACCAAGGCGACGAUCAGUAGCCGGUCUGAGAGGAUGAACGGCCACAUUGGGACUGAGAUACGGCCCAGACUCCUACGGGAGGCAGCAGUGGGGAAUAUUGGGCAAUGGGCGAAAGCCUGACCCAGCAACGCCGCGUGAAGGAAGAAGGCCUUCGGGUUGGAAACGUUCUUUACCUAGGACGAAGAACGUAGACGGUACCUCGGAGAAAAGACAACGGCUAACUACGUAG